rnacentral:lncRNA from 1 species
AGCUCCCAGCUGCAAGUACACUAGGCUCUAACUUCGCUUGUCCUCUCUGCAGGCCCUCCCGGAGCUCCCCCCACCCCCCGGUUUCCCGCAGCGGUCCCGCGCAG